UACGUAGGAGGCGAGCGUUGUCCGGAGUUACUGGGCGUAAAGGGUGCGCAGGCGGUCGGGCAGGUCGGCGAUGAAAUCUCUCGGCUCAACCGGGAGGGGCUCGCGGAAACCGCGCGACUUGAGGCUCGGGGAGGGGCGUGGAAUUCCGGGUGGAGCGGUGAAAUGCGUAGAGAUCCGGAGGAACACCGACGGCGUAAGCAGCGCCCUAGACGAGCUCUGACGCUCAGGCACGAAAGCUGGGGGAG
rnacentral:rRNA from 1 species